rnacentral:rRNA from 1 species
CCCUUAGAUGUUCUGGGCUGCACGCGCGCUACACUGAUGCGUUCAACGAGUUUAUGACCUUGCCCGAUAGGGUUGGGUAAUCUUUUUAAAUCGCAUCGUGAUGGGGAUAGAUUAUUGCAAUUAUUAAUCUUCAACGAGGAAUUCCUAGUAAGCGCGAGUCAUCAGCUCGUGCUGAUUACGUCCCUGCCCUUUGUACACACCGCCCGUCGCUCCUACCGAUUGAGUGCUCAGGUGAAUAGUAUGGACUGCAUCAGUGUUCGGUCUCCGAAUGUUGACGCGAGAAAUUCUGUGAAUCUUAUUGCUUAGAGGAAGGAGAAGUCGUAACA